AACGAACGCUGGCGGCAUGCCUAACACAUGCAAGUCGAACGAGACCUUCGGGUCUAGUGGCGCACGGGUGCGUAACGCGUGGGAACCUGCCCUUAGGUUCGGAAUAACUCCCCGAAAGGGGUGCUAAUACCGGAUAAUGUCUUCGGACCAAAGAUUUAUCGGCGUUGGAUGGGCCCGCGUUGGAUUAGCUAGUUGGUAGGGUAAAAGCCUACCAAGGCGACGAUCCAUAGCUGGUCUGAGAGGAUGAUCAGCCACACUGGGACUGAGACACGGCUCAGACUCCUACGGGAGGCAGCAGUGGGGAAUAUUGGACAAUGGGCGAAAGCCUGAUCCAGCCAUGCCGCGUGAGUGAUGAAGGCCUUAGGGUUGUAAAGCUCUUUUACCCGGGAUGAUAAUGACAGUACCGGGAGAAUAAGCCCCGGCUAACUCCGUG
rnacentral:rRNA from 1 species